rnacentral:rRNA from 1 species
AACGAACGCUGGCGGCAUGCCUAACACAUGCAAGUCGAACGAGACCUUCGGGUCUAGUGGCGCAAGGGUGCGUAACGCGUGGUAACCUGCCCUUAGGUUCGGAAUAACUCCCCGAAAGGGGUGCUAAUACCGGAUAAUGUCUUCGGACCAAAGAUUUAUCGCCUUUGGAUGGGCCCGCGUUGGAUUAGCUAGUUGGUAGGGUAAAAGCCUACCAAGGCGACGAUCCAUAGCUGGUCUGAGAGGAUGAUCAACCACACUGGGACUGAGACACGGCCCAGACUCCUGCGGGAGGCAGCAGGGGGGAAUAUUGGACAAUGGGCGAAAGCCUGAUCCAGCAAGGCCGCGUGAGUGAUGAAGGCCUUAGGGUUGUAAAGCUCUUUUACCCGGGAUGAUAAUGACAGUACCGGGAGAAUAGGCUCCGGCUAACUCCGU